rnacentral:rRNA from 1 species
UACGGAGGGUGCAAACGUUGCUCGGAAUUAUUGGGCGUAAAGCGCGUGUAGGCGGCUAUGUAAGUCGAGUGUGAAAGCCCUGGGCUUAACCCAGGAAGUGCGCUUGAAACUGCAUAGCUAGAGUACGGGAGAGGGUAGCGGAAUUCCCGGUGUAGAGGUGAAAUUCGUAGAUAUCGGGAGGAACACCAGUGGCGAAGGCGGCUACCUGGACCGAUACUGACGCUGAGACGCGAAAGCGUGGGUAGCAAACAGGAUUAGAUACCCCAGUA